rnacentral:rRNA from 1 species
UACGGGGGGGGCAAGCGUUGUUCGGAAUUACUGGGCGUAAAGGGCGCGUAGGCGGCUCUUCAAGUCAGCCGUGAAAUCUCCAGGCUUAACCUGGAAGGGUCGGUUGAUACUGUCGAGCUAGAGUGUGGAAGAGGCAACUGGAAUUCCGUGUGUAGCGGUGAAAUGCGUAGAUAUACGGAGGAACACCUGCGGCGAAGGCGGGUUGCUGGGCCAACACUGACGCUGAGGCGCGACAGCAUGGGGAGCAAACAGG